rnacentral:rRNA from 1 species
UACAGAGGGGGCAAGCGUUGUUCGGAAUUACUGGGCGUAAAGGGCGCGUAGGCGGCUCGGAAAGUCGGGCGUGAAAUGCCGGGGCUCAACCCCGGGACUGCGUCCGAUACUUCCGAGCUGGAGGUAGGUAGGGGAGAUCGGAAUUCCUGGUGUAGCGGUGAAAUGCAUAGAUAUGAUAUAGAACACCAAUUGCGAAGGCAGCUUGCUAAACGAUCAUUGACGCUGAGGCACGAAAGCGUGGGGAUCAAACAGG